CCUACGGGGGGCUGCAGUGAGGAAUAUUGGUCAAUGGGCGGAAGCCUGAACCAGCCAAGUAGCGUGCGGGAUGAAGGCCCUACGGGUCGUAAACCGCUUUUGUCCGGGGAUAACACCCUCCCCUUGUGGAGUUUUGCAGGUACCGUGCGAAUAAGGGCCGGCUAAUUCCGUGCCAGCAGCCGCGGUAAUACGGAAGUCCCGAGCGUUAUCCGGAUUCAUUGGGCUAAAAGGGAGCGUAGGCGGACGUUCAAGUCAGCUGUAAAAUCGCGGGGCUCAACCGCUCCCCGCAGUUGAAACUGGGCGCCUUGAGUUCACAACAGGCAGGCGGAAUUCGUGGUGUAGCGGUGAAAUGCAUAGAUAUCACGAGGAACCCCGAUUGCGAAGGCAGCAUGCCGGGGUGCGACUGACGCUGAGGCUCGAAGGUGCGGGUAUCAAACAGGAUUAGAUACCCUAGUAGUC
rnacentral:rRNA from 1 species